rnacentral:rRNA from 1 species
ACGGGGGGUGCUAGCGUUGUUCGGAAUCAUUGGGCGUAAAGAGCGUGUAGGCGGCUGGAUAAGUCAGAUGUGAAAGCCCUGGGCUUAACCCAGGAAGUGCAUUUGAAACUGUUCAGCUUGAGUAAGGGAGAGGAAAGUGGAAUUCCUGGUGUAGAGGUGAAGUUCGUAGAGAUCAGGAGGAGCACCGGUGGCGAAGGCAGCUUACUGGACCUAUACUGACGCUGAGACGCGAUAGCGUGUUUAGCUAACAG